rnacentral:lncRNA from 1 species
CUGUUCAUUUAUUUAUUUAUGUAUUCUCCAUUUGAUAAAUAUUUCUGCCAAUUCAUGUCCACUGAGAAGCAGAUGCCAAGAUGACAUUAUACACAUGAAAGGUCUAUUAGGAGAAAUGCUUGUGAAGGAUGAAGAGAAGAGUAGACAGGGACAUGCAAGGAGAGCCUUUAGACCAUGAGGCAGGUUGGAUGCCAGCAAGUGGAGAGAGGGAAGAAAGACUCACACUCACACUGUUGCAGAUCUCUAAGAAAUCCAGCGAGGCACAUAAGGAGUCCACAGGCAAAAAUGCCCAGUGGGAGGUGCACGUUGGGCAGAAAUGUCCUGGCUCUACUACCCCACUGCAACUUUUGGUUAGUGUUUGGAAAUACCUUGUGUGGGAAGAUGGAGAUCUAUGGUAUUUGAAGCAGAUUUUUGUGAAGGGAGAUGUGAGCACUGGAAUCUAAGGCUGCCAGCAUCCACCCCUUCGGCUGCACAGGUCUUCUACAUGUGAUCAGGAAGCAGUUACUCAAUGUGCCCCAUGGGCCUUAUUCACUGAAGGGAAGAUU